UGUGUGGGGCGGGGGUGGUCUGUCCAGUGAUUCAGCCACAUGUGAUAGAUGACCAAGUGACUGCUUUCUUGGAGUCCGCACACCAGUGGAAGACUCUCAAAGUGGUUGUGACCGACUUGAUCAAACUCUAGGCUUCCUGAACUGGAAUGAAAUGCAGAUAACUCUUUAGAAAACUUUUGUAGGAAAAGCGCCUCGUGUGAUCUGGAACAAAGACGUUUUAUAAUCAGAUUUAUCAAGCUGCGAAGAGGGAGUUUUAGUGAACGGAAGCAGCAGCAUUCUGUCACCAGGAAAUACUCCUUUAUCCAGAAUUGGUAAGUGAAAAGUGGCAUUGCUCCCUAAUAGAUAUCAUAUGCGUGUGUGGGAAUUGAAAAAUUGUUCACAGACCCCUAACAACUGUGUUGAACAGAGAACACAUAAACAGUGAGGAGUUCUAAAAAAGAGCAGCACGAGAAUACCGCAUAAAGACUGAGAAGAAGCCAGGUAAUUAACAAAAAUGAGCUGAGUGCUAUCAGUUUAGCUAAACAUAUGUAAUACAGCUAGAUUUGGUUGUUUUAUUUUUUCUUGUUAGUGGAGGAGAAACAUAAAAUCAGAAUGGGCUGUUUAGUAGAAUUGCGACAUUAACUUUCCAUGGAUGUAGAUUUCCAUUUAGUCUGAAUAGCAUGUAUGAAAUUUGAAGGGAUGCUUUCAGAAUUAGUCUACUUGCCCUCCUUUCCUUUCCUCUGCAUUAAGAUGUCAAGUAUUUAGUUAGAACCUUACAAGAUGAAAGUUGUACAAAAUGAAAGUUCAAGUAAUGCGUCGGAAACACCUCUCCUGAUUGGGAAGGGUAGAUUACAAUGGCAAUAGAUUUUUGUUUUUUGUUUCUUACAUUUGUGUCACGAAUUUUAAGUUUGUUCUAUUGGAUUACAUUAGUACAGCAAAAGGGGGGUUAUUUCUAUCUAUAUGGUUCAUGACAUUUUGAGAGGUCGUGAUUAGUAGUUCUUACUGGUUUCGUAUGCGUGUUCCUGCCUGUUGAAUUCAGUUUUCUAAUCUUGAAUCUGAGCUGCCUUUAUGUUAAAGGGUUCUAGAAAAAGACAAUAAAGCUUUGAAUACCCGUGUUAUAUACAACAGGUUCCUGUUCAUGAUGUAUAAGGUAACGCAAUUUUAUUUUAGGCAUGAAUGUCUAAUUUCUUGAUUUGGCUUCUUAAGAAUAUACUGAAAAGGUUGAAUAGAAUAAGAAAAAGAACAUUAGAAAAGAAUGGUGGGUGACUGCCUGAUUUUACUAGUUUCUUAUUGGUCAAUAGAAGUAAUCAUGUGAUGUCUACUUAUAGAAGCAAAUGGAAAAAAUUUUUCUUCUUUAACUGCUAACAAGUAUAUAGGCAAUUUUAGCAAUCUUCAUUUAUUAAUUUGAAUAUAUAAUUAUAACUGUUAUUAACAGAAUAAGUUUUGGGUAAUAUAGGAAAUAAUAAUUAUUUCUUUCUUUUUAAGCCAAAUUGGAAGUUGAAUCUACUUUUGGUUCCUGUUCUGUUACUUUCAAAAUCUUAAAAUCCUUAACUCAAAAGGGAAAAUGUAUAAUAAAACAGGAUAGCAGUGCUGAAAUUUCUCUCUCUUAGCAGUGGAGUGGGAUGAGGGUGGGGGAGGGAGAUGAAUCUAGUGAGAUAUAUUAAUUGUUUUUUCCCCCUCUUGUAUACUUGGAUAACUUUUGAGAUCAGUUUUCUCAGACUAGCAGCUCUCAAGACUUUUGCAUAAGUAUUUAUUCUUAAAGAAAUAGAAAGACAAGAUAAGCACGGCUCUUAAGGGCAGGUCCUCCAAUAAGUCAGGAAACGGGUGAUCCAAACUUGUGAACAUGACAAGUCAAUUUGACUUAAUUAAGGAAUGGCAUUAGUUUUCUUGAAGCACAUGAAUUUAUAGGUUUUUAGAGUCUUGAAGACAGAAAAAUGGCAACAAAGCAUUAAGGUAUUUACAGAUAAUUUAUAUUCAACUGCUAGCUUAUGUUUUCAACUCUGUAUUUCAUGUAAGUAAAUACUUGGGGAGAACAUGAUGAUUUAAUAAUCUGGAUAAAUACUGCCGUGCCUGUUGGAAAAAAGCCUCUAAUUUUUAGGUUUUCCUCAUCCAUUUAAAAUCCAUUGUUUUGAAUGACAAAAUGUGAUAGAAACAGGUUGGAACAGUAAAUGCUAGAAAGUAUAUCCCAGAAGAAUUAACUGAGAACUUCAUGUUUUCAAUUCUAUUUGCCGUUCUCUGUUCUCAAUUUGUUAAUUUUUAAAAGUACAUCGAAAGUGAGUAGCAUUGCUUGCUCUGAAUUCUCCUCUGGGGUCAUUGAGAGUAUUCACAUUUUCGUAUACCCUGUUAAAAGAUAUUAAUGCCAUGCAUAUGCCUUUGUCUUUGUGGGUGUGUAAAACAACAAACUGAAGGGAUCUGGUCAAGAGACAGACCUCAAAAUAAUUUCUCUGAAAUAGUGUUUGAAUUUGCAUGUUCGGGAACGUAAAUGCUUUCCCUUUGGGCUUGUUUCUUAAGUUUUUGGUGUAGUAUACAGUUUUACCCAAUUAAAUUUUUCUUUUGAGGUCUGUAUAUGUAUGGGUGUCUAUAUUUGAUUUGAAGGGGGAGUUUUAAUCAUUAGUGAAACAAGUGGCUGUUUGUUAGAACCCAGAUAAGCCUCAUAGUGUUGUUCCUAUGACAACUGAGUAGUUGGGUGUUGAAAUGUAGCUUUAAGUUCUUGGUUUGGAAAUGUCAUUCAGACCUCCCACUAUAGUCUCAUUGAGUAGGAGGAUAAUGAGAAGGGGAAAAACCAUGAAGCAACAUAAGUAUCUCCGUUCGUUUCAUGUCUUCCUGACUUGUCUUUGUGUACAGGAUCGCCAUGGGAGUGGUAAACAUAGGUCUUGAACAAAGCAAUACUUCAAUUAAAAAAAUACAUGGAAAGGGUCAGAAAAGUUGGGGAAGAUAAAUAACAACACAUGGGGGCAAUAAAGAGGCAAGAGAAAUAGGCUUCCAUGGGUUUCUGCAAAUCCUUUAUCCAGUGCUGACCAGCAGUGAGAACAUCUUGAACCAGUUAUUGUAUAGCUCUUCAAGAGCUGUGAAUUUCCUUAAAAUGCAAUGUGGAGAAAAUUCCUUUGGUAGCAGGAUGGUUUACCACUUUGGCAUAACGUUUAUUCAUCUCCCCCAGGCAGACUACAGAGGAUACUGUGUUCUUUUAAGGCACAUGUUUUUAAACCAGUUGUUCAUUUGUCAUUUAAUAGCUUUUGUCUUUUUUCUAUGGGAAAGACAAGGUUGUACUAUUAAAAUAGUGAUAAAAUUUAAGUAUUUUAUUCUAUAUUCAAAAAGUGCUUUUGAAAAGUACUUAGAAAAAGAUUGUUUGAGACCUGUUGUUUGUGGAAAUGUCUGUCAAUGGAGAAUCUAUGGAGCACUGUAUUUGAGGAGAGGGAUUGUUCAGACUAAUAUUUGGCAUAGCUUAAUUAUGCAGUUGUUGAUUUUCCAUGUCUGAAGGUCUUCCUAUUUCCUACUCCUAAAUAGUUUUAACUAUUUAUUUGGUUGCUAGAACCUCCUGAAGUUAGAAAGAAAAAGAUUUCAGUGGGGUUAGUCUCUUAAUAAAUAUAUGCCCACCAUCUCUUCUGUAAUCCAAAAAGCUCUGAAAAUCAAAAGAUUUUCAUGUAACAAAUUUGGCAGCAAAUCCUGACCUGAACUGAUGUGAAGCUAAUGAUAGUCUUUGUUUAGCUCGCUCAGAAUGAAUCUUUGUAUGUUUUACUGUAGAAGUAUUAAUGUGUUUGAUCACGGAGUAUUGUUCCAGACUCCCCUAGAGGUUUAUAUACUAUAUUGAAUAGUCAACCUAUUACCUUUAUAAAAUAAUAAUAAUAAUCAAUCUGAGUGUCAGGUAAGCAUUUGUGGACCCAUAAUUACUGACAUACAUUGAGUUCAUAUUAUAUGCCGGGUACCAUUCUAAAUGAAUCACUGGCAUCUAAGAACAGUGUCUGGCACAUAGUAGGUACUUAGUAGACACGUUUUGGUAGGAACUGCUUUACACUUAUUAAAUUCUUU
rnacentral:lncRNA from 1 species